rfam:Butyrivibrio proteoclasticus strain P18 genome assembly, contig: Ga0066879_118
AAACGUGAGAGUUCGAUCCUGGCUCAGGAUGAACGCUGGCGGCGUGCCUAACACAUGCAAGUCGAACGGAGAAUAUACGCUUCAGAAGCUUCGGCAGAUGAUUGUAUAUUCUUAGUGGCGGACGGGUGAGUAACGCGUGGGUAACCUGCCUCAUACUGGGG